rnacentral:lncRNA from 1 species
CUUUGGAAUGAGAUUCAUAGGAUGUUUCAUUUGCAAGAUAUUAACCUUUAAAGUCAUCACUUAGACCUGAUUUUUGUGCCCAACAUUUAUGCCUAACUUACCCAACUUAUCUUGCAAUGGUGUGACAUGAUCUUGAGAUACAUUUUUCAUAUUCUUCCCCUCAUUAUUUCCACCCAUUCUCUACAUGAAACAUGCCAUACUCCAUAUUUUCUUCCUACUGUUUGCAUUAUCUCCUCAAUUGGUG